AGGAGCCGCUCGCUGCAGCCUGUAGGAAGGCGGAGUUGGACAUCCAACCCCGCCCACAUCCAACUCCGCCCAUGUCCAACUCCGCCUUACGUCUAAAGCAACACCCACCUUACGUCCGUCACGAACGCCUACAUUUACUCCCGGUAAACAGGAAUUGUAGCCGAGAAAGCAGCUAAAGCAUCUAUCUGAUUUAUAUCUCCGGUUAUGGCGCAUCCAACACAUGUCCAGGCCACUCCUGACCCUUCACGGUUUGGCCAGUGUGGUGUUUUCAAAUGCCCCUGCUUCAGUUUUGACACUGACCAGCGAUUUAAUAACAGCCUACAUCUACAAAACCAUAUCAAACAAGCAGUCGAGAAUAACGGAAAGUUCAGCGUGUUGAACGUGUGACUGAUGAAGGAGAUAGAAUGGGCAACGUCUCCUUUGAACAGAUGCCCCUUAUUCUCAUAGAUACAGUUCUGGAAGAGGGUGACAAAGCUUUUUUAAAGCUGUCACUGGUUUGUCGUCUCUUCCGGGACAUUGUUUGGACAACAAUCAUUCCGGGCCCGGGCACAUUUCGAGUGGCUUGACAGUGUAGUGCCAUGAAAACAUCACAGUGCUGCAUGUAAAGACGAGUUUCGCAGGAUGUACGAACUGCAGUGCUGCCAGAACUGUCAAGAAACUUGUAAAGACUGCAUACUGGGUAUGUUUGUUCUAAAUAAAUUUUGAUAAUUUUUUCCUGAGGUCAGAAAUUGGUACGUCAAUAUAUUUAAGGUAUUGGGGCUUGAGAGAUUGUUACUUUGUGAAAGUGUGUGCUUUUACUUAUAUUACAGGCUACGUUGGGCAUGGGAGACGAGGGGAGCUUGUGGCAUUUUACAGCGAAAACGAGCACCCUGGAUUCUGCAGCCAGCUUCAUGAGUGGCAGGGUGUGUGAGUGGCAGGGUGUGUGAGUGGCAGGGUGUGUGAGUGGCUGGGUGUGUGAGUGGCUGGGUGUGUGAGUGGCUGGGUGUGUGAGUGGCUGGGUGUGUGAGUGGCAGGGUGUGUGAGUGGCAGGGUGUGUGAGUGGCAGGGGGUGUGAGUGGCAGGGUGUGUGAGUGGCAGGGUGUGUGAGUGGCUGGGUGUGUGAGUGGCAGGGUGUGUGAGUGGCAGGGUGUGUGAGUGGCAGGGUGUGUGAGUGGCAGGGUGUGUGAGUGGCAGGGUGUGUGAGUGGCAGGGUGUGUGAGUGGCAGGGUGUGUGAGUGGCUGGGUGUGUGAGUGGCAGGGUGUGUGAGUGGCAGGGUGUGUGAGUGGCUGGGUGUGUGAGUGGCUGGGUGUUGCAUUUUUAAAUAAAGACUUCUGUAUUUGUUUGACCAAAGCAUGUAACCAAACAUUUUAAAGGCUAGUGUGCCAAUAAAUGCCAAUAAAGAUAUUGUAUUAGCUUGGACAAAGUGUUUGUAAAUGGAGUUAAUUUCCCUGGGAACUACUGUCAGCCAUACAAAAUUGGGAGAGGAGAAGCAGGAAAGGGAUAUUAUUAUUAUUAUUAUUAUUAUUAUUAUUAUUAUUAUUAUUAUUAUUGACAAAAUAGCUAUGUAUACAUAUGAUAUUUUAAUUUCUGAAACCACAGCAUUUGAUAUAUUGUACUCUAUCGUUAUACACUAUCCAGCAUACCAUUAUUACCACCUGCUUGUUUCUGCUUCUAUUAUUAUUUUUUUAGCUCCAAUUAGCAUCUAGGACACUUUAGUUGCAUAAUGGUUUACUGGUGUAUAAUAUACAAUAGGUAUAAAACACUGUUCACUCUAUUAGACACUUCUACCAACAGCUGCUUUACAUUGUGAGUGAAAAGUCAGAGACAGAAUCUUUAAAUCUGUUGCUGCACAGUUUGUUGCUCAUCUGCAAAUUCUUCAUCAGUGCCCAUGGGAUGCUGCCUACUUG